GCCGUGGGCAUAGUUUAAAAAAACAUUAAGCUGUGGACUUAAAAAUAAAGAUACACACCUCUUUUUCCCACC
rnacentral:tRNA from 1 species